rnacentral:rRNA from 1 species
CCUACGGGAGGCAGCAGUGAGGAAUAUUGGUCAAUGGGCGAGAGCCUGAACCAGCCAAGUAGCGUGCAGGAUGACGGCCCUAUGGGUUGUAAACUGCUUUUUAUAAGGGAAUAAAGUGAGUCUCGUGAGGCUUUUUGCAUGUACCUUAUGAAUAAGGACCGGCUAAUUCCGUGCCAGCAG